rnacentral:rRNA from 1 species
AUUGAACGCUGGCGGCAGGCCUAACACAUGCAAGUCGAACGGUAGCACAGAGAGCUUGCUCUCGGGUGACGAGUGGCGGACGGGUGAGUAACGUCUGGGAAACUGCCCGAUGGAGGGGGAUAACUACUGGAAACGGUAGCUAAUACCGCAUAACGUCGCAAGACCAAAGUGGGGGACCUUCGGGCCUCACACCAUCGGAUGUGCCCAGAUGGGAUUAGCUAGUAGGUGGGGUAAUGGCUCACCUAGGCGACGAUCCCUAGCUGGUCUGAGAGGAUGACCAGCGACACUGGAACUGAGACACGGUCCAGACUCCUACGGGAGGCAGCAGUGGGGAAUAUUGCACAAUGGGCGCAAGCCUGAUGCAGCCAUGCCGGGUGUAUGAAGCAGGCCUUCGGGUUGUAAAGUACUUUCAGCGGGGAGGAAGGCGGUGAAGUUAAUAGCUUCACCGAUUGACGUUACCCGCAGAAGAAGCACCGGCUAACUCCGUGCCAGCAGCCGCCGUAA